rnacentral:rRNA from 1 species
UACAGAGGUCCCAAGCGUUGUUCGGAUUUACUGGGCGUAAAGGGUGCGUAGGCGGUCGGGUAAGUUCGAUGUGAAAUCUCCAGGCUCAACCUGGAAACUGCAUUGAAUACUAUCCGGCUGGAGGGUUGGAGGGGAGACUGGAAUUCUCGGUGUAGCAGUGAAAUGCGUAGAUAUCGAGAGGAACACCAGUGGCGAAGGCUAGUCUCUGGACAACUCCUGACGCUGAGGCACGAAAGCCAGGGGAGCAAACAGG